AGUGAACGCUGGCGGUAGGCCUAACACAUGCAAGUCGAACGGCAGCACAGUAAGAGCUUGCUCUUACGGGUGGCGAGUGGCGGACGGGUGAGGAAUACAUCGGAAUCUACCUUUUCGUGGGGGAUAACGUAGGGAAACUUACGCUAAUACCGCAUACGACCUACGGGUGAAAGCAGGGGAUCUUCGGACCUUGCGCGAUUGAAUGAGCCGAUGUCGGAUUAGCUAGUUGGCGGGGGAAAGGCCCACCAAGGCGACGAUCCGUAGCUGGUCUGAGAGGAUGAUCAGCCACACUGGAACUGAGACACGGUCCAGACUCCUACGGGAGGCAGCAGUGGGGAAUAUUGGACAAUGGGCGCAAGCCUGAUCCAGCCAUACCGCGUGGGUGAAGAAGGCCUUCGGGUUGUAAAGCCCUUUUGUUGGGAAAGAAAAGCAGCAGGUUAAUACCCCGCUGUUCUGACGGUACCCAAAGAAUAAGCACCGGCUAACUUCGUG
rnacentral:rRNA from 1 species